CAAGGCCUGUCAGGGGGAGGGCUCCACUUCUCAGCCCAUCUGCAGUAGGGCCACAUUCGGGCACUGGCUCCUUCUUAGUCCCAUGGAAGCACAGAUCAACAUCAUUGCCCUUGCAAACUUCUCUCAGCUUAGGAGAGUCUACUCGCUCUUUGCACAUUGUUGACAUGAAAUGAAUAUUAAACACCAAACCUCAUAGAGGCCAGCCCUGCUGGGUGAGCAAUGAA
rnacentral:sRNA from 1 species